rnacentral:lncRNA from 1 species
GGAAAUUUUUUUUACCAAUAAGUGACCUAAAUGUGUGUGUUGGCAGUUAAAAGAUUGAAAACUUUGUUCUCUUUGCCAAACAUACCCCUUACUCAUCUUCAAUUUUAGGAAAUUACUGUAUGGACACGAUGAGGCAGAAGGAGUGCCUAACCUCGGCCAGAUGGCUCUUGUUCUUCUCGCUUGCACACGUGUUCCUGCCCCAUCUGUGGGCUCAGUGGGUCAGUGUCCUGGGCAAAGAGGCCAAGGACAGUACUGGUCACCUCUCCGGGCCUUGGUCUCUCAGCUGUAAAACAGAAGGCUUUGAAAAAAUGAUUUUGAAGCUCUCUCUCAGCUCUGUCCUGACGUGACUUUGAGCAGGCGAAUGACUAUUUCUAUUCUCCGAUGAAGCUGUCCUGGCAAACCUGAGGGGGCAACCUUGGGAUGUCCGCUGUGCUCUGGGCUUGGGGAAGGGCAGUUGGAAGAGAAGGAGUGGAGGGAAACUAAACACUCUCUAAAAUGAUCAUGAACUGACAGCGGCCAGGACUUGUCGGGGGAGCAGAGCCCCACCACACAUAGUGCGCAGCCCAAGCCCACGCCAGCUUGUAGAAGGGCCCGUGCAGCCAACACCUCUCUGAACCCAUGUGUUCUCUUUCCCGAGGGGCAGCCUGCUUCAUGUGGAUGUCCAGGCAGCUGACAUCUGCGAGACCUUCACGCCGAGAGCUGAGGCAAACCGGGCCCGCUGGUUACUGGCCUCGGUGAUAUUUCGAGAUGCAUCUAGCAGGGUUCUGCGUUCUAGAGCUGUACUGUCCAACAUGGUAGCCACUCGCUACAUGUGGCUUUUAAAAUUCACACUUAAAUUAAUUAAGAUGAAAUAAAAUUAUGAAGUCAAUUCCUGAGUCACACUAUCACAUUUCAAGUAUCCUUGUACACACAUGGCUGUGGCUUGUAGUUGCCACAUUGGACAGCUCAAGUAAAGAACAUUCCGUCCUCACAGAAAGUUCCAUCGGACAGAAUGUCCUGGCAAUAUGUUCUUACAGGGUGAAAAGGAUGAGAGAUUUGAUAUCAAAGACCUGGGUUCAAGUCUCAGCUCCCCGCACACCAAGUUUAUGAGAGUUGCUUAGUCUGUUUCGGC